GGACCUAAUGCUCUCCAGCCAUGGGCCCAUGAUGGGAGAGAGGCUCCUCCUUGCUCAGCACAGGGCAAAGAAGUGUGGACAUAGCACAGCCUUUUUAAAAUCUGCAAUUUAAUGGGACCUGGACAGAAGUGAACACAUUUACAGUGAAAUGCAGUUUGGGAAGACGGAUAAUAACACUCAAUUUCUACUCGUCAUUUUACUGAUGGAUAGUCUAGAGGAGGAGCCCAAAUGGAAAUUUUUAGAAAGAGGAAGUUUUCUGAGGCUGCUGGUAUGUGGUAAAGCAGCAGAAGCAGAUAAGACAUUGUUGCGGCAUUCUGAGCUAAUGUGCUCCAGCACCCUUAUCAUAGAAUCAUAGAAUCAUAGAAUGGCCUGGAUUGAAAAGCACCACAAUGAUCAUCCAGUUUCAACCCCCUGCUAUGUUCAGGUUGCCAACCACCAGAUUGGGCUGCCCAGAGCCACAUCCAGCCUGGCCUUGAAUGCCUCCAGGGAUGGGGCAUCCACAGCCUCCUUGGGCAACCUGUUCCAGUGCGUCACCACCCUCAGAGUGAAAAACUUCCAUCACCCUUACAGUUGGAAAAUCAGUCUGUGCUUUUCUUUGGGAAUCUUUCAUUACUUUUUUUUCUCCUCUGAGCCCUUCCUUGUAGCUCUCCUGUGUUUUUUGUUUUUUGGUUUUUUUUUUCUCCUGUGAAUGUAUGUUAGUAAGAAAGAGAUGAUAGCAUCACUUGAUGGACAAAGGAAAGGUGAGGUGGGUAUACAAAAGUAGAAACGUGCAAUAAGAAGAUGGUGGAACAGAUUGAGGAAGAUAAGCAGGCUGUAGCUAAAUUCAGGCUGAUAUUGGAAUGAGACAAAAAGAAAAUAUUUUAUGUGUGCCUGUGGCAACUAUCAAUAUUAAUAUGAAUUUGUGAUGACUGUUAGAAGCAUAAAACUAGGUGAAUAAAAAUUGAUCAUAGGAUUUAUACAAAACAUUAUGGUGAUUUAAAUCCCUAUGAGCAGUGUUUACUUAUGUCUUUGGGUAGAAUAAUGAACCUUUAAUUGCAGGCAAGCAAUUUUAUGUCAGAAUAAAUCAGAACCUGAGUGCAGCGAUUCCAUUUAUCCAACAAUGGAGUUGAUUUUGGCGCUCAUUCAGCUUUCUUUAAAUUAAGUUUUAAUGCAAAGCAUCUGAAGCACACUUACUAAAGACAUUAGAUACAACUCAUAUACAAUGAAAUGGUCCCCUAUCCUCCCUUUAUUUCCUUUAAACCCAAACAGAGCUUAUUUUUACAGUAGAGAUUCAUUUUUUGAUCUCUAUGAAACAAUGAGCCAAACAAAACAAAGCACACAUGCAACAAAGGUGGUUGAUUUCUGAGGCUGAAAGGGUAAAAUGCAGAAUGAAUUCUUGCUCCAGGAAUGUUUAGUUAAGCAUUCAGAAAUGUUGUUUUCUAAAGGAAUUAUACAGAUUAAAUGGUCUGGAACAAUAUCAUAUCAAAUGACUGAUGAGAGUAUUUUAAAAACAGAAGAUCUUAAUUUAGAAUGGAAAAGAAAAUUAUAUUUAAGAAUUUAUUUUUUCUAGUUUCAGUGUAUGUUAAACAAGAUGUGACCUGUCCUGAACUUGAGACUCACUUGAGAAGUAAUACAAAAUGUUAUUAAAGUACAGGCAUGCUAACAGAACAGCAAAAUCCCAUCUCUGUCAAUGCUGAGGCUCCUGAAUGUCUCAGGCAGCCCCUGCCGGAGGUCCAGAGCUAGCAAACUGCCUUUGUGUAUUACCAGAAGAUGUCAAACACCUGAAGCAGUAUGAACUGGAGGUCCUAUAAGGUUGUUUUUUUAAAAAAAAAUAAUUUAAAGUCAGAUUUUGUGACCUUUGCAAUGCAACAGGAAGAGCACAUUUGUAUUCAUGGGAGAUGUUCUGGGCAGUGAGGUAGCUGCUGCUGAGGAGAACCUGGGGUGUGGAGGUGGUGGUGGGAGCUGCUGACCAGUCCAAUAUUUUGGAGCUGGUAUGUGGAUGGCUCCUACAUAACAGCUAUCUCUGGUGAAGAGAUAGGAGGACUUUUGUGUAGCUGAGCUAGAAUCACUGGGGUGACAGCACUGUCUUCUUCCCAUUGAGGAGGAUGAGUUGAGGGGGUGGGGGGUGGGGAUGCUGCCAACAUCAGCUGGCUGUCAUGCUUGGCAUGUGUGCAGCUGAGAUCAUAGUGAGGAGCCUCUGUUCUUGUUCUAUCAGUAUUCCAUAUUAGAACAUGACACAGGCUGUUUGGGUGCAAAAGCACAGUGCACUACAAAACUGUGUUUGCUGGUUUCUCUAGCAGCCUCACAUGAGUUCUGACUCUCUAAGAGGAAGAUACUCUGGGAAGUACUGCAUUUCCUAGGAGCCUCCACAUGAUUUCCUAUUCUGCGUGUUGGGUGAAGGGUUCUCAUGCCUCUUCUAGGAGGUGAACCGUGGAGGGCUUGCUGAUAAAGUCUCAGAUUGACUCUCCUCUGGCUUUAUUUUUGGUUUGUUUUGAUAUAUUGGUCUGAAUUAUUCUGUAUUAUCUCACAUUCCUUUUAAUAAAUUAGUUUCUCCUGUCUCA